GUGCAGUCAAUUAAGUCAAUGAUGAUUUUUCCCCCUGUGGGACCCUGUGCAAUGGCUACAGAAGGCAAGCAGCCUCUGUGGUUGUGUAGCGGCCUGUGGCCUGUGUGGGCUCUUCUAAAAGACCUUGGAGAAGGUC